UGGCCGAAAAGAUUUUUUUUAAAAAAAAAGAAAACAAGAAAGGAAGUCGAGCUCAAAUUGCAUCCUGUCUGAUUCUUGCUUUGGGGCAUUGUGAAAUUUUCAGGUAUCAAGACAUCUUUACAGCCUUGGUGUUAUUCCGAAGGAUAAUGAUGCCUGCCGAGGUUCCUUCACUGCUGAGGAUGGUCGGAGUUUACUGGACACUUUCCUCCUCUCUCAGUGGGAAUAUCAUGCUUGGAGGGGUUAGCUUGAAUACGAUGUCACUACCUGCGAAUUUAAGGUUAUCAGUGGUAGAAAGAAGUUUAUUGUCCAAUUGAAUAACAGAUGGAAUGCACAAUUUCUUAAGAAAUU